rnacentral:tRNA from 1 species
CAAGACCUGUGAAAUUCCAAACACAUCACCUGAAUGCAAAUCAGAUACUUUACUUAAGCUAAGGCCUC